UCCCUCCUGCAGAAGGGAGGAGUUGUUCACCUCUCCUGGAGAAUAAAGUUGCCUGCAAGGAAUGCUGCUACAGGGUUUAUGACUCCCAGAGGCCAGGGGUUGGAGGCUGAAUGAGAGGAGGCUCACAGGCUGGCUUCUGGGAAAGAGGUAUUUCCCCAGGAUUUGCCUGAUGUGGGCUCUUGGAGGACACCUCGUGAUCUCCUUAGUCCCUGAGCUAGGGAUUCUGUGUGAGGCCAGCAUGGGAGUCCAGGCUUCUGCUGGAGGGGUCUCCGAGAAGGCGGCUGUCCUGUGGCAAAUUUGUGGGAGGGAACUGGUGAGGCCCAUGCUGCCCCUGGAGUGAAAUCUGCAACCCUGAUACUGACUGAAGGCCGACCCUGAGAAGGCUGACACUGCACAAGUCAGAGUCACGAGGGCAGGCCUGGAAUUCCGUCCUUCCUGCAUGACUGGAUCUUCCUCUGAGAUGCACACACAGCACAUGGAGCCGCCUGCCUGGUGCGCCUGCCACCUGAGGGACACACAGAGCAGCCAGGAGGGAGCUCCUCCCACCCCCACUGCCAUGCUCCUGCACUCCUGCUCCUGCCUCGCCGCCGGGAUCACUGCCCUCGCCCCCCAGGGAUCUGGGAAAGGCCACUGGUUCAGCUUCUGCCCCUACAACUGUUGCUGGGGGUGGUAGGUGUGACCAGGCAGAGUGACUUCGGGGGUUGGGUGCUACUGGGUGCUAAGUAAAGUUCGGCCCUGUCUUGGGUUCCCUGUA